AACAGGAGUCCUGCAUUGGGCCGAGUCAUUAAAACCCAGUGGCCUGCAAGUUAUUCAGAGAGGAUGGAUAGCUUCCCAGCCACCAUCUACUACGUUCAGUACCCACGCUCAGUGCCUGUAAUUCCAUGUGGCACACACCGACGGAAAACAGUGGAAGACAGCCUCUUUCAUCAAAGAGUAAUGAGGUUAAGAGAUAAAGGAUUCUUGCUCCUGAACCCCAGCAAUGAGGAAGACCAAGUGACCCAUUGAUAAGCCCAUGUGAAGAGAAACAACCAGUCAACAACUUGCUACCAACAUGAAUGGACCAUUUUGGAAGUGCAUUCUUUAGCCCCAGUUGAGAUGUUUUAGCUGAUACUGUGGAGAAAGGAAGAAUGAUCCUAAUGAGUCCUACCCAAACUGCAGAUUCAUGAGAAAAAUAAAUGUUUUUUAAGCAAA